GAUGAACGCUAGCGACAGGCUUAACACAUGCAAGUCGAGGGGCAGCGGGGUGUGGCAACACACUGCCGGCGACCGGCGCACGGGUGAGUAACGCGUAUGCAACUUGCCUAUCAGAGGGGGAUAACCCGGCGAAAGUCGGACUAAUACCGCAUAAAACAGGGGUCCCGCAUGGGGAUAUUUGUUAAAGAUUCAUUGCUGAUAGAUAGGCAUGCGUUCCAUUAGGCAGUUGGCGGGGUAACGACCCACCAAACCGACGAUGGAUAGGGGUUCUGAGAGGAAGGUCCCCCGAAUGGGUACUGAGAACCGGACCAAACUCCUACGGGAGGCAGCAGUGAGGAAUAUUGGUGAAUGGCCGGGAGGCUGAACCAGCCAAGUCGCGUGAAGGAUGAAGGUCCUAUGGAUUGUAAACUUCUUUUGUGCGGGAAUAAAGUCGGGGAUGCGUCCCCGUUUGCAUGUACCGUACGAAUAAGCAUCGGCUAACUCCGUGCCAGCAGCCGCCGUAA
rnacentral:rRNA from 1 species